rnacentral:tRNA from 1 species
GGCCUCGUAGCUCAGCUGGUUUGAGCGUUUUAAGUACUAAAGCCUUCCCCUUGCUGGCGUGGGUUCAAAUCCCACCGACGUCA